AGAGCGAACGCUGGCGGCAGGCCUAACACAUGCAAGUCGAGCGCCCCGCAAGGGGAGCGGCAGACGGGAGAGUAACACGUGGGAACGUACCCUUCAGUUCGGAACAACCCAGGGAAACUUGGGCUAAUACCGAAUACGUCCGUAAGGAGAAAGAUUUAUCGCUGAAGGAUCGGCCCGCGUCUGAUUAGCUAGUUGGUGAGGUAACGGCUCACCAAGGCUACGAUCAGUAGCUGGUCUGAGAGGAUGAUCAGCCUCACUGGGACUGAGACACGGCCCAGACUCCUACGGGAGGCAGCAGUGGGAAUAUGGACAAUGGGCGCAAGCCUGAUCCAGCCAUGCCGCGUGGAUGAUGAAGGCCUUAGGGUUGUAAAGUCCUUUGACGGGAAGAUAAUGACGGUACCCGUAGAAGAAGCCCGGCUAACUUCGUGCCCAGCAGCCGC
rnacentral:rRNA from 1 species